AACAAUAAUUGAACGGUGAACUCUCUUUCUCAUCUCUUCGGUUGCCUCUACAUCUUCUCUCCGAUUUCUUAAAAGAAAAAAAGAAAUGGUAUCGAGCGCCAUUGAUCUUUUGAAGAACGAGAUUCCGCUGGAGCAGGAAUCUGUGGUUUUGUCUGAAGAUGCUGUGAACGGUCUUGUUCUCGUUGAUCUUAUCAAUGGCUUCUGUACUGUGGGCGCUGGAAAUCUGGCACCAAGAGAGCCAAACAAACAGAUAUCUCAAAUGAUAGAAGAAUCAACAAGAAUUGCACGGCUUUUCUGUGAGAAGAAAUGGCCUGUGAUGGCAUUUCUUGAUUCUCACCAACCAAACAAACCUGAACAACCAUAUCCUCCUCACUGUAUUCUUGGUUCUGAUGAAUCUAACUUGGUUCCAGGUCUGCAAUGGCUGGAGAAUGAGGCGAACGUGACAAUGAGGCGAAAGGAUUGCUUCGAUGGGUAUAUGGGUUCCUUCCUCCCUGACGGCUCCAACCUUUUCGUCGAUUGGAUCAGACAUAAUCACAUCAAAUCUCUACUUAAUGUCAAAACAAGAAGAGGAAAGAAAAUUCAAGGAGUAGCAAGAGCGAGAGCUGAGUAUCAACAAGCAUGCACAAUAGGGCUUUUUGCUUUUGGUGGUUGGAAUAUGUACGGACAUCUGCGUGUUGGAUUUUGUGUGCUCAACUAUGUCUGCAAAGAAUUUAGGGUUUCUUCAUCCUUUAAACGACGUCGUUUUAUACUCUCACGCCUGUGCUACCUUUGAUGUCCCUCUCCAUGUUGCUAGAAACACCAAAGGGGCUCUCCCUCAUCCUCAGGAGUUCAUGCAUCAUGUAGGCUUGUACAUGGCAAAGGAAAGGGGAGCCAUCAUAGCCAACAAAAUAUCACUAGGAACCACCAAAGAAGCCAACAUAUAAACCCACUAUGCUUAAACAGUAGUGUACCCUCUUUAAUGGCAAACAUUAAAGAAAUGUAAUCAAAUAAAUAAAUGGAAACAUAUGAUCUAGUACGUUGUUUGAACUCGUGAUGAGUACUUAGAAUUAAUUGAACUCCCAUCAAAAGAAGAUGAUAGAUAGUCUUCUUCGUGAAUGAUAUCUAUAAAUGAUAUCUAUGUCGUUUAUAUUGUAUCAUCGUACAAAUCAAAGAAUAAAAAUAUUAUUUUUACCUUUUAAGACA